UACGUAGGGGGCAAGCGUUAUCCGGAUUUACUGGGUGUAAAGGGGGCGCAGACGGCAGCGCAAGCCAGGAGUGAAAGCCCGGGGCCCAACCCCGGGACUGCUCUUGGAACUGCGCGGCUGGAGUGCAGGAGGGGCAGGCGGAAUUCCUGGUGUAGCGGUGAAAUGCGUAGAUAUCAGGAGGAACACCGGUGGCGAAGGCGGUUUACUGGACCACAACUGACGCUGAGACACGAAAGCGUGGGGAGCAAACAGG
rnacentral:rRNA from 1 species